UACGGAGGGUGCAAGCGUUGUCCGGAUUUAUUGGGUUUAAAGGGUGCGUAGGUGGCCUUAUAAGUCAGUGGUGAAAGCCUGCAGCUUAACUGUAGGACUGCCAUUGAUACUGUAGGGCUUGAGUACUGAUGAGGUAGGCGGAAUUGAUAGUGUAGCGGUGAAAUGCAUAGAUAUUAUCAAGAACACCGAUUGCGAAGGCAGCUUACUAAGGAGUUACUGACACUGAGGCACGAAAGCGUGGGGAGCGAACAGG
rnacentral:rRNA from 1 species